GGUAGCCAAUAUAAGGGGAAUUAAAACGUUUGUUAAAUUGCAACAAACUGAUUUCUUUGUUCCUUCUCCAUUUCCACUGCUUCAUGUGACUAACCUUUA
rnacentral:sRNA from 1 species